CGAAACCACAAGCAACAAGAGGUUUGGAUUCUUCACUGUCACCUAUCAAACAAACUCAUAAAAUCAGAAAACUGAACAAGAGCAUAUGGAUCUUAUACAAAUCUUAAGAGUGAAAAAUUUCACCUGAACAUGGUAACAAACAUCAUCAAAUGCAAUCCACUGAUAAUUUAGCUCCACAGCUUUAUCAAGACUGAACAAAAAUAAUAAUGAAGACCUAAAACUCUACAAAAAGGAUUGAACUUUUCUUCCAUUCUACAAAAUCUACAGGAUGUGGUCGGAGUUAGCCUCAGGUGUGUCUUUUUCACUCGGCAGUACAACUUGCCAAAACUUGGCUAAAUACUAAUCCCAUUCCUCUACAAUCAUUGUUCCUUUGCUGCUUCCCGUAAAAACAUGAAAGUCUAUGUUAAUCGCACUAAUAAAAAAAACAGUCCAAAACAAAAAAUGCAGACU
rnacentral:lncRNA from 1 species